rnacentral:rRNA from 1 species
CAGUCGUACCUUCGGGUAAUCAGCCUUUCGGGUGUGAUUCUGUGGAGUGUAAGGAGCUUAAACACCUUCAUGUCUUGCAUAUUCGUACUCUUGGGUGUACUUGCCCGUGUGGUUGGUUAACAUCAAUUUUGGUGGUCAUAAAAUGACUGGAGGAAUGUAGCUUCGAUCUUGUAUUGAAGUGUUAUAGCCUUCGGUAGAUGUGAUGAUCGAGAUUGAGGAUUGCAACGGAUACCCUUCGGGGCUACCUGUCUGAUCUCUGAUCGUUGCUCUGGUGCCGAAAGCUUGCUUACGGUCAUCGAAAGUGAUUUCAAAAGGUUAGAACGGGUUAA